UCCCCAGCGGUGUGUCCUUAUCCCUAACAGAGCUUCGGCCUUCCCAGCGGAGUUCGUAGUUCUUCAGCAGGUAGAUCGCCACCAGAAGAUGUGUGAUCUCUCCCUAGUAGAUCGCUUUGGUAUCUCCACCAAUCGUUGUACCUUUGCUCCCAGUCAGAGUUUCCUCCUGGUUUCUGAGCGGCUUUUUUUUUUCUCCCCAGUAGGGUUGUCUCCCAUUUUUAUGGUGUCGACCUAAAAUUCCCUACAGUUGGAUGCGUA
rnacentral:lncRNA from 1 species